UACGAAGGGGGCUAGCGUUGUUCGGAUUUACUGGGCGUAAAGCGCACGUAGGCGGACUCUUAAGUCGGUGGUGAAAUCCUGGAGCUCAACUCCAGAACUGCCUUCGAUACUGGGAGUCUCGAGUCCGAGAGAGGUGAGUGGAACUGCGAGUGUAGAGGUGAAAUUCGUAGAUAUUCGCAAGAACACCAGUGGCGAAGGCGGCUCACUGGCUCGGUACUGACGCUGAGGUGCGAAAGCGUGGGGAGCAAACAGG
rnacentral:rRNA from 1 species